rnacentral:rRNA from 1 species
CAGCAGCCGCGGUAAUACGAAGGGGGCUAGCGUUGUUCGGAAUUACUGGGCGUAGAGCGCGUGCAGGCGGGUCCUUAAGUCAGGGGUGAAAUGCCAAGGCUCAACCUUGGAACUGCCUUUGAUACUGGGGAUCUUGAGUCCGGGAGAGGUGAGUGGAACUGCGAGUGUAGAGGUGAAAUUCGUAGAUAUUCGCAAGAACACCAGUGGCGAAGGCGGCUCACUGGCCCGGAACUGACGCUGAGACGCGAAAGCUAGGGGAGCAAAUGGGAUUAGAUACCCCAGUAGUCCCUGUCUCUUAUAA